rnacentral:rRNA from 1 species
AGUGAACGCUGGCGGUAGGCCUAACACAUGCAAGUCGAACGGCAGCACAGUAAGAGCUUGCUCUUACGGGUGGCGAGUGGCGGACGGGUGAGGAAUACAUCGGAAUCUACUUUUUCGUGGGGGAUAACGUAGGGAAACUUACGCUAAUACCGCAUACGACCUACGGGUGAAAGCAGGGGAUCUUCGGACCUUGCGCGAUUGAAUGAGCCGAUGUCGGAUUAGCUAGUUGGCGGGGUAAAGGCCCACCAAGGCGACGAUCCGUAGCUGGUCUGAGAGGAUGAUCAGCCACACGGGAAGUGAGAAACGGUACAGACUCCUACGGGAGGCAGCAGUGGGGAAUAUUGGACAAUGGGGGCAAGCCUGAUCCAGCCAUACCGCGUGGGUGAAGAAGGCCUUAGGGUUGUAAAGCCCUUUUGUUGGGAAAGAAAAGCAGCAGGUUAAUACCCCGCUGUUCUGACGGUACCCAAAGAAUAAGCACCGGCUAACUUCGUG